rnacentral:miRNA from 1 species
GUAUUAGGUUGGUGCAAAAGUAAUUGCGGUUUUUGUCAUUACUUUUAAUGGCAAAAACCUCAAUAACUUUUGCACCAACCUAAAUA